AUUGAAUCCUAAUUCAAAUUGAAUUAGGACAUUAUAACAAAACAUGACAUUCACUUUCCUUUUUCCUUAGGUGUUAUGGUUGUGCAUUAAAACUGAUGUCCACUUCCAAUACGUGGUGUGAUCUUGGAAUUAAUUAUUAUCGCCAAGCACAACAUUUAGGAGAAACAGGCAGCAGCGCAAGUGAUCUUAAAGAGCUACUAGAGAAAUCUUUGCAUUGUCUGAAAAAGGCAGUGAGACUUGACAGUCGUAAUCACUUAUACUGGAAUGCUCUUGGUGUGGUUGCAUGUUACAGUGGUAUUGGAAA